UACAGAGGGUGCAAACGUUGUUCGGAAUCACUGGGCCUAAAGCGUACGUAGGCGGCGCCGUAAGUGUCGGAUGAAAUCCCACGGCUUACCCGUGGAACGGUCCGGCAUACUGCGGUGCUAGAGGAUGGUAGAGGAGAGCGGAACUCUUGGUGGAGCGGUGAAAUGCGUAGAUAUCAAGAGGAACACCGGUGGCGAAGGCGGCUCUCUGGUCCAUGUCUGACGCUGAGGUACGAAAGCCAGGGGAGCAAACGGG
rnacentral:rRNA from 1 species